GUUUCAGCUACAGGUUGGAUACACCCGAAGCUCUACUUGCGCCAGGGAAUAUGCUCAAUAACGCGGAUUUUCAGGAAUCUUUAUUAAGACGAAGAAAGAAGGAAAGAUGGAAUUGAUGUAUCCGGGUCCUGCGGAUGGAGAGGACGAAGAGGAGUGGAUGGAACACAAGCUUCAACACCAGUACGGUACAAAUUGUAGUACUGGGAACGGUACCGUGAAUUUAUUACUAGCACGUUAGGGCUUUAGGGGAGAGUUCUCGAGCGUGGGCCAACAUUUUGUUGGUAAGAUAAGCUGCACUUCGUAUGUUGUAUCAUUUUUGUCAAUCGCGCGCGUCCCUUUACGCUCCGUAUUUUUGUUGACUUACCACGAAGAGGCUCUCCAUAAAAUGUGAACUUUGCGCAACAAUGCUGGGUUUAGGGUUAUUCUUUUAAAUAGGGCAUAGCUCCAAACAACACAUUUUCUUACAGGUGGCAUUGGUUUUAUUCCCUCACACAUUAGGGUGUAGAAUUUCUCUUUCUUUUUUACAGGUUCUCUCAUUUCUCUAUGUAUUUAUAUUAGAAUUGUUGCAGGCAGAAUGUCAGUAGUGGUUAACCCAGCAACGUUGCAUAAACACACAACUACACAAAAUCAAACUCAAACAAAAACACAU